rnacentral:rRNA from 1 species
AGAGUUUGAUUCUGGCUCAGAACGAACGCUGGCAGCGUGGAUCAGGCAUGCAAGUCGAACGAGAAUCCACGGGUUCAAUCCUUCGGGAGAGAAACUGUGGAAGAGAGUGGCGAAAGGGUGAGUAUCGCGUGGGUAAUCUACCGCUGAGUUUGGGAUAACCUGGCGAAAGCCGGGCUAAUACCGAAUGUGGUCUCCUGUCGCAUGGCGGGAUGACCAAAGAUGGGGACCUUUCGAGGCCUGUCGCUCAGUGAGGGGCCCGCGUCCUAUCAGCUUGUUGGUGAGGUAACGGCUCACCAAGGCUUACGGGUAGCUGGUCUGAGAGGAUGGUCAGCCACACUGGGACUGAGACACUGCCCAGACUCCUACGGGAGGCUGCAGUCGAGGAUCAUUCGCAAUGCGCGAAAGCGUGACGAUGCGACGUUGCGUGGGGGAUGACGGCCUUCGGGUUGUAAACCCCUGUCAUUCGGGAGCAAUGGUUCCGGGGUCAAUACCCUCGGGAUUCGAUAGUACCGAAAGAGGAAGCCACGGCUAACUCUGUGCCAGCAGCCGCGGUAAUACAGAGGUGGCGAGCGUUGUUCGGAUUUACUGGGCGUAAAGGGUGUGUAGGCGGUCGCGUAUGUCGGAUGUGAAAUCUCACCGCUCAACGGUGAAACUGCAUUCGAAACCGUGUGACUAGAGUACAGGAGAGGAAAGCGGAAUUCUUGGUGUAGCGGUGGAAUGCGUUGAUAUCAAGAGGAACACCGGUGGCGAAGGCGGCUUUCUGAAUGUUACUGACGCUGAGACACGAAAGUUGGGGUAGCAAACAGGAUUAGAUACCCUGGUAGUCCCAACCCUAAACGGUGUGCACUUGGUGUGGGAGGAUUUGACCCCUUCCGUGCCGGAGCUAACGCGUUAAGUGCACCGCCUGGGGACUACGGUCGCAAGACUAAAACUCAAAGAAAUUGACGGGGGCCCGCACAAGCGGAGGAGCAUGUGGCUUAAUUCGAUGCAACGCGAAGAACCUUACCAGGGCUUGACAUGCAGCUGCACGUCCGUCGAAAGGCGGAAAGCCUACGAGGGUGCUGCACAGGUGCUGCAUGGCUGUCGUCAGUUCGUGCCGUGAGGUGUUGGGUUAAGUCCCGCAACGAACGCAACCCUUGUGUCUAGUUGCCACCGCAGGUGAUGAGCCUGCGAGCACUCUGGACAGACUGCCCGUGUAAGCGGGAGGAAGGUGGGGAUGACGUCAAGUCAGUAUGGCCUUUAUGCCCUGGGCUGCACACGUGCUACAAUGGUCGGUACAAUGGGAUGCAAUACCGCAAGGUGGAGCCAAUCCACAAAACCGGCCCCAGUUCGGAUUGGAGUCUGCAAUUCGACUCCAUGAAGUUGGAUUCGCUAGUAAUGGCGCAUCAGCUACGGCGCCGUGAAUAUGUUCCCGGGCCUUGUACACACCGCCCGUCACAUCAUGAAAGCUCUCUGCACCCGAAGUCGCUGUUCUAACCUCGAUUUUAAUCGAGGAGGAAGGCGCCGAAGGUGUGGGGAGUGAUUGGGAUGAAGUCGUAACAAGGUA